AUAAUUCUAAACAAUUACCCACAUUAAAUUCUAAACAAAAUCAAUUCUAAUUAAAUUCUAAACAAAACAGUAAUGUCCAAUUAUUCAGCAUGGGCCAAAUCCAUUCCAGGCCCACACAGGGGGUUAUUGAAGGUUUGAGUUGGUGUAUGAAGCCAAUAGGGGGGUGUGAGGCCACAAAACAGUGAUUGGGCCUUAAUUGGGAUUAGGCCCAAUCCGGAUGGAUAUCAAACGAGGGAACGCAAGGUUCCCCUAAUCUUCUUCCCUUCGCUUACGACCAACGGCAACUCAAUGCAAAACGCCGAUCCCGGCCACGUCGGCGACGCAAUACGGCGGUCCCUACGUCGUCCGCCGUUCCGACCUCCCUUCCCCAAAACGAGAUAACUUGAUCAUACCAUUUAGAAACGUCUAACACGAUCCUUCGACGCGGUAAACCGAUUAUGAACGAAAACAGAAACAGCUUUGUGUUGCUCUCACGAAUCAGAUCGAAUACUCGAAGCGGAAUGAACUCGGUGACGACUCACACCACAACACCAGAAUCAAUCAUUGUAACGGGAACAAACAACCUACCGACGGAUGCGACGGGAACGACGGAGACGGCUGAGAAAAUUGGAAUUAGUGGAAUCGUCGUCGUAACACUGGAUUGAUAUCAAGUGAUCGAAGCGGUGAUGCAGCGAUAAGGCGUUCUUGGAAGGAUUGUGUGGAAGGAGAUUAUUGAAGCCAGUUACCUCUCCCGCAGGUUGAAGAAGAAGAAGGAGAAGUAAUUCUACAAGUUGCGUUUUUUGGAAGAUUUUCGAAGAGGAAGACUUCACUCAGUUCUGAUGUUUAUAUAGAGUUAUUUGUAUUUAGUUUGAAGUCUUUGCUUGAAUGAAUGCUGUUGCGUUUUGGAACUUCUCAUGCCUUUCAUGACGUGGCUCGCGUUUUGUAUGCUUUUGCUUUGGCAUUUUCACUUUUGAUGUUGCGUCUCGUUUGGUGCGUUUCUUAUGUGCGGCUUUGGUUGCAACAGCUUGUUUACGUUUUGCAGUUGUUGUGGAUUUUUGGUAGCUAGCUUCGUUUUGCGCCCUCACAUGUCGUUCACGCGUUUGGCUCACGUUUCGAUUGGUGUAGUUGUGGGUUUUUGAGUUGUAGCUUGGAUGCGUUUUGGUGGCUUCCGCAUUUUGCACCCUGCCUGCUACUGCAUUGUACUGCAGCUAGUGUGGUAGCUUCUGCAGCCUUUCAUUGCCGUUUUGCAUUUCUGAUGGUGCGUUUGAAGCUUGGUUGUUGCCGUCGGCUGGCAUGGCUGCUACAUUUUACUGCUAUGCUGUUUUCUGUUUACAGCUUUGGAUUGGUUUACGGCUUAUUGUUGUACUUGGAUAAGUUUGACUUUUUUCAAUUGCUUCACAUUGAGUCACGUGUUGUUAGCUCCUUGUAGCUUGAAUGUUACCUGCAUUUCCAUGUAUUACUGCUAUGGGCCAUGUUGAAUAAUGGGCUUAGGAUUGGUUAAAUGGUUCAA